rnacentral:rRNA from 1 species
CCCUAUUAUUUUAGAAUGUUAAUUUUUGUGCCUGAGUAGUAUUAGUUAUGUUCUUGAAACUUAAAGAAUUUGGCGGUAUCUCAUUCCGUCCAGAGGAAUCUGUCCCGUUAUCGAUAGUCCACGUUGGACCUUACUUAUUUGAUUUGGUUUGUAUACCGCCGUUUAUUGAUUAUCUUUUUAGAGUUUUAUUAAUUUUCUGGUUUCUUUAUUUUGAUAUAUUUCAGGUCAAGGUGCAGCUUGUUUUUAAGUGGAAUGAUGGAUUACAUUGUUAUUUGUUUUUGGAUUGUUGUUUUUAAUAUUGGCAUGAAAUUGGAUUUGGUUGUAAUAAUUUGUAGAUUGUUAUUAUGAUAAGUGGUUCUGAGAUAUGUACACAUCGCCCGUCGCUCUCGUUUGUUUAUUAUAAUGAGAUAAGUC